CCUAGCCUCAUAGACUGGGACAACUAUUGAACGAUAGCUAAUACCGGAUAACAGCAUUAACUGCAUGGUUGAUGUUUGAAAGUUGGUUUUGCUAACACUAUGAGAUGGCUUUGCGGUGCAUUAGCUAGUUGGUGGGGUAAAGGCCUACCAAGGCGACGAUGCAUAGCCGACCUGAGAGGGUGAUCGGCCACACUGGGACUGAGACACGGCCCAG
rnacentral:rRNA from 1 species